UUUAGCACCAUUUUUUCUCUGUGUCUCAAUUUACAUGUAGAUGCCGUCGGGUACACGUCUCUUCGAGGCUAGCUGAUUGAAUGCCUAAUGGCAGUCAACUGUCUCUGGCCUUUUCUGGAAAAAUUCAGCGGAAAAGUCAAUUUGCGUGAAUUUUCUCGCCAAACUGCGGCUAUCGAUGCUUCUUGUUGGAUACAUAGGGCUUUGUAUUUGUCCAUAAGUCAAAGUGGAAAUCGAGAGAGGUGAGAAAUUUUAGUGAUGAUACUCUUACUUCGUUUAGAAAGGUGUUUUUUCGAUUAUAGAAGUCAAGUAUGUUUUGUUUUCAAUUGAAGAUUUGAUAGUAUAUUUCAAAGCUAUCUACAGACGGUGACGAACGCCGGCGUAAGGCCGUUAGUUGUCUUUGAUGGGCUGCCUUUACCAGCCAAGGCAGCCGAAGAGGAAAGAAGGAAAAGAGAAAGAGAGGACCGUCGAAACAAAGCCGAGGAGGACAAUUUAACAAGCGAAGUAAGCUAACAGACAUCGCGGACAAGCCGUUUCAGUAACAUUUGACGAUAUCUGUACAUGUAUCAACAUUUGUUUGUCCGUGGGUAUAAUUUACGUUGUUUCCCCGUACGAGUCAGAUGCCCAAAUAGCUUUCCUGCUUGGCAGUGACUGUGCGGAUUUUGCAAUUACUGAAGAUUCAGACCUCUUGGCAUACAGCUGCAAAAAGGUUUGUGCACUUAAUAUCCUGCCCCUUUUCAGAUCUAAGGUUUUCUUUUUGCUUUUCCCCUCAAAGGCUUUCGUAAGUUGUUGGCUUUUUCUGAAAAUUAGUUUUGUUUUGCUUUUUUCUUUCCAGAUUUCAUGUAUUAUUUCUUCAAUGUUUUUUUCUUCCAACACUGGCCCGAAAGAAUUCCAAGUUGAUUACUUUCCCCAAAGAAUUCCCCAAAUUUAAUAGCUUCCAUCUGUUUUGUUGAUGGGAAAGUCAAAUAAAAUUGCCUUUGGUUGGGAAUCUACCAUAUUGUCAAGGGCACCCAACGACAAUUUUCGGAAAAUAUCUGUUCGGAAGACGAUUUGAGAUCUAGAACUUUCGGAAAAUUUUUUGUAAAAUUUCUUGCUUGCCUUCCUCUCCCAGAAUUUUCGAACAUCUGAAAAUGGUAUAAUUGCCCAUUUUUAACGGAUUUUUAGACUAGAAAGCUCACCUAGAAUUCUCGGGAGCCUUCUUUCUGGCUGGAAUUUUC